UGAGUACGAGAUGCUACGGCAUCGAAGCAGUCUAUGUCAUACUUCCAAGAAAAGCUUGCAAUGUCAUAAACAAAUAAUGCCUGUACCAUAACCGACACAGGUGGGUAGGUAGAGUAUACUAAGGGGCGCGAGAUAACUCUCUCUAAGGAACUCGGCAAAAUGACUCCGUAACUUCGGGAGAAGGAGUGCCUUAUUUUUAUAAGGUUGCAAUAACAAGAUCCAAGCAACUGUUUACCAAAGACACAGGUCUCCGCUAAGUCGUAAGACGAUGUAUGGGGGCUGACGCCUGCCCAGUGCCAGAAGGUUAAAGAAGUUGGUUAGCAUUAGCGAAGCUGAUAACUGAAGCCCUGGUGAACGGCGGCCGUAACUAUAACGGUCCUAAGGUAGCGAAAUUCCUUGUCGGGUAAGUUCCGACCCGCACGAAAGGCGUAAUGAUUUGGAUACUGUCUCGGAGAGGGGCUCGGUGAAAUAGACUUGUCUGUGAAGAUGCGGACUACCUGCACCUGGACAGAAAGACCCUAUGAAGCUUUACUGUAACUUGAGAUUGAAAUUGGACUUUAUCUGCGCAGUAUAGGUGGGAGACGUUGAAAAUAUUCUUGCGGGAAUAUUGGAGUCAUCAGUGAGAUACCACUCUUAUAAUGUUAGAUUUCUAACUUUGUAUCAUUAUCUGGUCAAAGAACAGUUUCAGGCGGGCAGUUUGACUGGGGCGGUCGCCUCCCAAACGGUAACGGAGGCGCACAAAGGUUUCCUCUGAACGUGUAGAAAUCGUAUCUAGAGUGUAAAGGCAUAAGGAAGCUUGACUGUGAGACCUACAAGUCGAGCAGGGACGAAAGUCGGUCUUAGUGAUCUGACGGUGCUGAGUGGAAAGGCCGUCACUCAACGGAUAAAAGUUACUCUAGGAUAACAGGCUGAUCUCCCCCAAGAGUUCACAUCGACGGGGAGGUUUGGCACCUCGAUGUCGGCUCAUCGCAUCCUGGGGCGGUAGUACGUCCCAAGGGUUGGGCUGUUCGCCCAUAAAAGCGGUACGCGAGCUGGGUUCAGAACGUCGUGAGACAGUUCGGUCCAUAUCCGGUGUAGGCGUUAGAAUAUUGAGAGGAGCCUUCUUUAGUACGAGAGGACCGAGAAGGACAUACCUCUGGUGUACCAGUUAUCGUGCCAACGGUAAACGCUGGGUAGCCAUGUAUGGAGAGGAUAACCGCUGAAAGCAUCUAAGUGGGAAGCCCACCUCAAGAUAAGUAUUCU
rnacentral:rRNA from 1 species